CUCGUUUUUCUGUCGAAAGCUCAACUGUGGCCUCUUGAAACGGUGAAAGAACGCUCAAGCAGUGGUGUAUGGCCUGGUAGUCCUCUGAGAUUCGAGCAAAACCACAAAUGGGAGACAGCGCUUCACCUGUGAUGGUUUGACAUGCAACAAAACUUUAGACUGUGAGGGGAACGACGACUACUGUUUUACCGCAUCGGGUCCUGAAGGAGGAACCAUAACCACCUUAACUUCUGCAACAGUGCUGUCACUGCAAGUACAGGUCUGCAGCUUGUAGUAGUGGCGUUAGUCUCUUUGACAUUGUUUUCUUAAGAGAAAAUUCAAACAGUGAAUUCUUUGGCACCUCUCUUUUUCAUACACAAAGUCUAUAAGGCCCUCACCCUUUUCUUCUUUCAACUUCUCUUUUGAAGAUUCAAAGUUUGGAAUCCAAAAUGAUUAUUUUUGAUGCGUUUUUUUGUGUUAGUUUCUUUUUUAUUUUCACCUGUCAAACUGUGUGUAAAUUUAAAUAUGAAAUAAAGUUUCAUCUCAUUAAGAGGGAAACUAAUUUGAGGUUGUGGUUUUUGACUGGAAUGUUUUUUGACUGUCUUGGAUGUUUGUUAUCAAGGUAUGACUGACUUCUUUUUACCAACAAGUGAAUAAUAGCUGUUUAAAUAAAAUCCUUUCAAAUCACUUUAGGUACACCUCAAAAUCCUAAAGCAAUAAAUUGUACUUCAUUAAUCUUUUUUUUAAUCCUCCACUACAGUUUGCUUUUGUUUUCAGUUUAAAAAAUAAAUAAUUUUAAAUAGGCUGUACUUUUUAUUAAGCUGCAUUUUAAUUUGUGAUUUCCAUCAUUAUAUGCCUUAGCCUCCUUUUUUUUCUCCAUUACAUUUUAGUAGCACCUCUGAGGACAGACCCCCCCAUCCGUAUCAAAAAACUAAGGACCAUGUAUGGAAACUACUUUUAAAGACAAAUGUUUAAGGGGACACCAAAGAUACAUAGCAAUAUAGCUGGAUAAGUGCAAUCCACGCUCCUAUCACAGUACCAGACCUUACUGCUUAUGACAGCAGACACCAUUCAUUUUAUUCAUAAUAAAGACACCGAAUGUUAAGCUGUCAUAGGUAUUUUUAAUGAAUAAGGCAAACCAAUUCAAUGAAAAUGGAAGUUCUCAAUGAGUCUCUGUCAAAUUAAAAAAAUUGAAAUGUGAAAUUUUAAUAUAAAUAUUAUUCAAUAUGUUUGAAUAAUGUGCUAGUUUGGUCACACCCAUCAGCAAAAUCUUUAAAAAAAAACUCAGCUACACCCACAAUGCGGUAGUGAGAAAGGGUCCAGUCUUUACAAUCAUUGGUUUGCAUUUUCAAGUGAGCUUGGGAAAACACAGACAUAACUGUUAGAUUUCAUUUUAAGUUAAUAAAAAUAGAAUACAUUUAAAAAAAAUUGGUUAAAUCUGACAAAACUCAAAUCUUUUUUAACAGUUUCCAUCUCGGAGGUCAGCCUACUUAGAAGA